ACCAGACUCCUACGGGAGGCAGCAGUGAGGAAUAUUGGUCAAUGGUCGGGAGACUGAACCAGCCAAGCCGCGUGAGGGAGGAAGGUACAGAGUAUCGUAAACCUCUUUUGUCAGGGAACAAAGGCGGGGACGUGUCCCCGGAUGAGUGUACCUGAAGAAAAAGCAUCGGCUAACUCCGUGCCAGCAGCCGCGGUAAUACGGAGGAUGCGAGCGUUAUCCGGAUUUAUUGGGUUUAAAGGGUGCGCAGGCGGAGGUGCAAGUCAGCGGUCAAAUUGCGGGGCUCAACCCCGUACUGCCGUUGAAACUGGUUUUCUAGAGUUGGAGAGAAGUAUGCGGAAUUCGUGGUGUAGCGGUGAAAUGCAUAGAUAUCACGAAGAACUCCGAUUGCGAAGGCAGCAUACCGGCUCCAUACUGACGCUGAGGCACGAAAGCGUGGGGAUCGAACAGGAUUAGAUACCCCUGUAGA
rnacentral:rRNA from 1 species